CUCCACUGUGGGUUCAUGAGACGUGGAUCCGUUGUCCCCCCCUGCUAGAGAGGGCCAUGUAACCCUUGGCUGACCAGAAUCUGCCAUCCCUUGCUCACAGCGAUUGGUUUGGGAGGGGACACGUGAGGGAAGCUCAGCUAAUCAGACACGGCCUGGACAAGUUGGCUGGAAGGAUGGAGGAUUUGGGAGGGGCCCGCCCAGCCACUGGGCUGGGUCUGGGGCUUUUGGGGUCACAACGAGGGAGACUGGUGAGGAGAAAAGCCACCGAGGAGGAAAGGAGAAACCAGAGACAGAGAUAGUUCAGGCUCCUGGAUCAAGCCACACCUGAAGGCCCCACGGCGGCAGCAUGGUCCCCAGCAUGGUCCCCCGCCUCCGCCCGGUGCCCCUGGUGCCCCUGGUGCUGCUGGGAGCCGCCCUGUGUGCCGCGCAGCCUCGUGGGCGCAUCCUGGGCGGGCGCGAGGCCGAGUCCCACGCGCGGCCCUACAUGGCGUCGGUGCAGGUGGACGGCAAGCACGUGUGCGGCGGCUUCCUGGUGUCGGAGCGCUGGGUGCUGAGCGCGGCGCACUGCCUGGAGGACGUGUGAGCGGCGGGGCNGCCCCACCCCGACAGCCGGCGCGACACCAUCGAGCACGACCUCCUCCUGCUGCAGGUCAGCCACCUGGGCCGCCACCCGGGCCGCCACCUGGGCCGCAGUCCCGCCCCCGCAGUCCCGCCCCCGCGCCGCCCU
rnacentral:lncRNA from 1 species